rnacentral:lncRNA from 1 species
UGUAUCAUGAAGAUGUAUCUUUGUUCCAUUACAAGGAUGUAUGUAAACUAACAACAAAUCAUUACCUGAUCUCCAUAUACAAAUUGUAGGAUAUCAGCCUGAAGGUAAACCCCCAAUAUCAUGCACAAACAAGCCCCUUCAGAAAGACAUCUCUAAUAAUGCUACUACAACGGAUAAAUAUCCACCUCCUCGUCGCGUGAGCAUAGAUGAAAUCCCCUUGCUUGUUAAUGACUUCAAAAUUGCUGCAAGAAAUGCCAUAGAAGCAGGUUUUGAUGGAGUAGAGAUACACGGAGCUCACGGCUACUUAUUGGACCAAUUCUUAAAGGACAAAGUGAACGAUAGAGAUGACG